rnacentral:tRNA from 1 species
GCCUGGGUGGCUCAGUUGGUUAAGCUCCAACUUCGGCUCAGGUUAUGAUGUUGUGGUUCGUGGGUUCGAGCCCCACAUCGGGCU